rfam:Triticum aestivum genome assembly, contig: Triticum_aestivum_CS42_TGACv1_scaffold_224199_3B
UUGAUACUCCCUCCGUCCGAAAAUACUUGUCACCAAAAUGGGUGAAAAGAGAUGUAUCUAGAACUAAAAUACAUCUAGAUACAUCCUCUUUUAUUCAUUUUGAUGACAAGUAUUUCCGGACGGAGGAAGUAUCUA